rnacentral:sRNA from 1 species
GUUACCAGUUACCUCUGUGAGAACUUUGGACAGGUUACCACUUUCGGAUUUUUUUUUUUUUUUUUUUUUUUUUUUAAUCUUGAGACAGGGUCUGCCUCUGUGGCCCAGGCUGGAGUCCAGUGGGCCAUCAUAGCUCACGGCAGUUUCGGCUUUCCUGGGCGCAAGCGGUUCUCUCCUUCCUCAGCUCCCCAAAUACCUGGGACUACAGGUGUGAGCCACCACACCCGGCUCAUUUUUUAAACUCUAAAUAGACAUAGUAGCAAGGGUACCCAACCUCACUGAUUGAGGAUUAAAUGAGUUGUUAUAUGUAAACUGUCUAGCACCUACCAAAUGUUGUUUUUCCUUUAUAAUCAAAUACAUGAUUAAGGAGCAGUGAUUGGAAGUUUGGAAGCAGGCACCUCAUUAUUAUUCAUGUCUACCACCUAUUAUUUCUUUAUUUUGAGAUGGAGUCUUGCUCUGUCACCUAGGCUGGAGUGCAGUGGUGGGAUCUUG